AUGAAUCAAUUUCUGGUGACAUGUAAACGAUUCAGACAUUCUAAUUAUCAGAAUUCUGUGUAAGUCAAUCAGAAAUAUUGAUAAUUUCUGAAUUCUGAUAACUUCAGCCGAAAUUUCUGAAUCGUUUAUAUUUUACGGAAUUAAAUUUGACAUUUCAAGAAAUUGGUUCAUCCAAACAUUUUUUUCCGCGCACAUAUAUCAACUGAAAAAUUUAGAUCUAACUCUGAAUAAAAAUCUGAGUGUCUCACAUAAGACAAGUUUCAAUUGACGACUAUUAUUAUAGGCCUCAAACUUCAAUUUAGAAUUACUAAUUUUAGAAUGACUAGUUUUUCAGUUGCGAUCACAGAGAUAUAAAUGUUAUAUAUAUAUCAUAAUUCAAUUAAAAAACUUUAAUUCUGAAAAAAAUCAGAGUAUUUUGUACGAGACAAGUUUCAAAUGACAACUGUCAAUAGCGGUCUGAGACUCAGGAAUCUCUCUCAAAAAAUUAUUCAAGAGAGCUAUUGAAAACGGCGGCGAACGAUGGGUGCGGGUCUCAAGCGAACACGUCACCUUAGUGCUUCCCUGUCACUUUUAAUUUACUAAGCGGAUGCGAAUUAGUCUCCCAGUUUACAGCGCUACUAAUCUGACUUAUGAUCCUAUCAUACGAUCGCGGUUAUGGGUUUGGUUAGUAGCGACAAUGUCGUGCAUGUCGAUUUAAUCAGAAUCUCAAUACAUUGUUGACCAAUCACGCGAGUUGCCUCGCAUCUCGACAAUAGUUCAUGAAAAACAGUAGUCAAAAAACGGGAUGGACAAUGUUGAAAAACACAGCCGUUUAAUAAUGUGUUAAUUUUUGUUCACUGAUGGAAAAUAGAGUCGAUGGAGAAGAUCAAGUUUACGGUUUUAUGCGUAGAUUUUUCGACAAUUAAAUGUAACGCCACGUCUGUACGUAUUAAUACAACUUAUAUUCAAUUACGACGAGACGUGCGACACGGAAUAUUCCAAAGUGCACUUUUGCUCUUUCACAUUGUUACUCACAUUGCUCUCUUCCGCAAUUACUCGAAAGGGAACAGAUUAACUCUAAAGUUUCGGAGCUUGCGGCUCCAUCAUUUGCUUCCAUUGAUUCGCAUCUAAUUAAAUGAUAAGCUCCGCAGCAAUCGCGACUUACCAAAAUGUUUUCGUCGUGACCAUCCUGCCCGCGAACCUCGACGGCAGAGAUCGAGAGAGGAUGUUCGGGAUAGGAAACUAAAAGUUUUAUAAAACACAAGAAGAAAACAAAAAAAAAAGUAAUAUGAUACAUCUUUAUUUUAGACUAGAAACGCAGAAAAAUAAUAUAAUAUUAAUAAUAUAAAAUAAUAAUAAUAAUAAUAAUAAUUAAUGGACAAUAAUAAUUAUAUAAUAAUUAUAUAAUGAUAAGAAUAUAAUAAUAAUAAUAAUAGAAUGAUAAUAACUAUAUACAUUAAAGUAUAUCGCGAGAUGGGACAUGUUACUGUGACGUAAAUAACAUUGUACAUGUAUGCGAGUGUACUUACGCAGCUGAAAUGAAUGAGUGUAUACGAAUCGUGUGGGUCAGGAAAGGAAAGCGAGAAGCGAAGCCACACCCUCGUCGGUUACGAAUACGCGGAGUAAAAUAAAAUAAAUUCGAAGGAAGAGAGAGAGAGAAGUAAACGAACGCGCACCGCCAGCUGUUCAAGGUCGAGACAUCCGGUUCCGAGUCCAAUCGGACGCGUGGGCAGACGAGAGCGUGAUCAUCACAAAGAAGGCUCAUCAUAAAUAACUAACGCGCAAGACAAAAUAAUAAUUAAUAGUAGUUACGGUGUGUGUGUGUGUGUGUGUGUGUGUGUGUGUGUGUGUGUGUUGUGUGUGUGUAUGCGUUGUGUGUAUACGUGUACGAUCGACGUCGUCGUUAAUGGCAGAUAAACGCACCAUGGCGCGACGCGGCGACGAAGGACAGUGCUUGUAUAUGCUAAACGCGAGGGAUCAGUAUCGUCAACAAGCUUAGGACGUAACACGACGGCCGGGUAUUGGGCAGAGAAUGCGCACUCGUGCGUAACGAAUGUCGAUCUCAAAUACACGUGUACGCAUGCACGCGAGCUCAAAAUCGUUAUUCGUCACCCGCGAAUAUGUCUGUCCUAGCCGGUACCGUUCGAUGGACGCCGGGAUGCAAGCCGGACGCCCGCGAGGACGAGCUGUCUACGUCGGGAGCCGUAUUCUGGGCGCACAGCGAGCGACAGAUAUGCGAGUCUAACUCUAAGUUACGUUUUUCUUAUAUGAGCGUCACGUAUGAACGCUGUGUGUCGCGGUUUGAGAAUCAGAAUACGGCUUCGAGUAGUCUCAGUCGAGCGAGGAUCUGCGAAGUAUUUACAGUUUGCUGCGCUCUGAGCGCACAGCAAGAGAGAGAGAAAGAAAAAGAGAGAGAGAGAGAGAGAGAGAGAGAGAGAGAGAGAGAGAGAGAAAGAGAGAGAAAAAGAGAUUGGGGGUUCGAAGGGCGUCGAGAUGUUGGAAUGGCUUCGCAAAUAAUGACGAUAAUAUUAGGACGAUGUCGCGCGACGAUUAGAACUUAAAUAUAUAAUAUGUAUCCUCCCUUCUUGUUUUCUCUCCGCCUAUUCUACGCUCGAUCGAAAUACUUGGAGUAAUUCAAGUAAACAAGGCUAAGCCUUACGCGUGUAAGAUGUAAUAAAAAUAGCUUUAAUAUAAUUUGGAAUUAAUAUAAUUUGGAAGUUUAUACAGCGCGCUGUACGCAUUGUUUAGGCGUAUAGGCAACUUAGUAUCGAUGAUUAUGCGAUAUCCAUCUUCUAAAAAAAAGGAAAAGAAAAAAAA